GGCGAACGGGUGAGUAACACGUGAGUAACCUGCCCUUGACUUUGGGAUAACUUCAGGAAACUGGGGCUAAUACCGGAUAGGAGCUCCUGCUGCAUGGUGGGGGUUGGAAAGUUUCGGCGGUUGGGGAUGGACUCGCGGCUUAUCAGCUUGCUGGUGGGGUAGUGGCUUACCAAGGCUUUGACGGGUAGCCGGCCUGAGAGGGUGACCGGCCACAUUGGGACUGAGAUACGGCCCAG
rnacentral:rRNA from 1 species